UGGAUGGGGACACGAGCAACAUCAACAGCAUGAGGACUACCCUGGCCCAGGCAAGAAGUAAGUAGAGUUUCUGGAAGCCAGCAGCUUCUCUCUUUCUCUCUCAUCUUCACAGGUAUGCAGGCAGGGAACCAGCCUCGGCGAUGGAAAUCAAUGAAUAAGACUUAACCUUCCUGGUGGCAAAUACUCCAACAGGGACAUCACAGACCUUCCACAACUCUGAGGAAGAUGAAAGUCUCCCGUGCACCCAGCUCUGGCUGAGGACGGAAUGACCUGGGGAGAACUUGGGCACUUCAGCUGCCCACAAAGCCCCAGGGAGAAAACCUUCCCAAAAAGGCAGUGGAUAAAUCAGAAUGCAGUGAGGAGCGGAUCCUUUCCAGGACCAAGACAGAUGCUGAAGAAGACAGCAGGGACCGGAGCCCAGCAAACUGGAUGAGAGCAGCAAGGCCUUCAUGCAUCUUCAGGCUCCAUCAGCAGAGGGAGAGAAUGCAUUAGACGGGAGUUUCCUGACUCCUAUUUUCUAAUGUGGCAGUCCUAAUGAGAAGAGGGUUUGAAGCGCUAAGAUGUGCUGACAGUCCUAAUGGUUUGUUAUGAGUUUCCUUAGAAAAAUUAAACACUGAAAAACAAAA